ACCCUAAUGCAGCUUCGGAUAUGCGUCCGGAACGGUGACAAGUCCGUAUAAAUGCAGAGUCAGGG
rnacentral:ribozyme from 2 species